UACGUAGGGCGCAAGCGUUGUCCGGAAUUAUUGGGCGUAAAGAGCUCGUAGGCGGUCUGUCACGUCUGCUGUGAAAACCCGGGGCUUAACCCCGGGCUUGCAGUGGAUACGGGCAGACUAGAGGCAGGUAGGGGAGAAUGGAAUUCCCGGUGUAGCGGUGAAAUGCGCAGAUAUCGGGAGGAACACCGGUGGCGAAGGCGGUUCUCUGGGACGGUACUGACGCUGAGACGCGAAAGCGUGGGGAGCAAACAGG
rnacentral:rRNA from 1 species